GACGGAGGGUGCAAGCGUUAUCCGGAAUGAUUGGGCGUAAAGCGUCCGCAGGUGGCAGUUCAAGUCUGCUGUCAAAGACCGGGGCUUAACUUCGGAAAGGCAGUGGAAACUGAACAGCUAGAGUAUGGUAGGGGCAGAGGGAAUUCCUGGUGUAGCGGUGAAAUGCGUAGAGAUCAGGAAGAACAUCGGUGGCGAAGGCGGCCUGCUGGGCAGUAGCUGACGCUGAGGCGCGACAGCGUGGGGAGCAAACAGG
rnacentral:rRNA from 1 species